rnacentral:rRNA from 1 species
CCUACGGGAGGCUGCAGUCGAGAAUCAUUCACAAUGGGGGAAACCCUGAUGGUGCGACGCCGCGUGGGGGAAUGAAGGUCUUCGGAUUGUAAACCCCUGUCAUGUGGGAGCAAAUUAAAAAGAUAGUACCACAAGAGGAAGAGACGGCUAACUCUGUGCCAGCAGCCGCGGUCAUACAGAGGUCUCAAGCGUUGUUCGGAAUCACUGGGCGUAAAGCGUGCGUAGGCUGUUUCGUAAGUCGUGUGUGAAAGGCGCGGGCUCAACCCGCGGACGGCACAUGAUACUGCGAGACUAGAGUAAUGGAGGGGGAACCGGAAUGCUCGGUGUAGCAGUGAAAUGCGUAGAUAUCGAGAGGAACACUCGUGGCGAAGGCGGGUUCCUGGACAUUAACUGACGCUGAGGCACGAAGGCCAGGGGAGCGAAAGGGAUUAGAUACCCCUGUAGUC